rnacentral:rRNA from 1 species
GAUGAACGCUAGCUACAGGCUUAACACAUGCAAGUCGAGGGGUAGCAGGGUAGCAAUACCGCUGACGACCGGCGCACGGGUGAGUAACACGUAUCCAACCUUCCCAUAACUCGGGGAUAGCCUUUCGAAAGAAAGAUUAAUACCCGAUAGUACUUUUUCAAGGCAUCUUGAGAAAGUUAAAGAUUUAUUGUUUAUGGAUGGGGAUGCGUUCCAUUAGUUAGUUGGUGAGGUAACGGCUCACCAAGUCUUCGAUGGAGAGGGGUUCUGAGAGGAAGGUACCCCACAUGGGUAAUGAGCAACGGACCAAACGCCUACGGGAGGCAGCAGUGAGGAAUAUGGGUCGAUGGGCGAGAGCCUGAACCAGUCAAGUAGCGUGAAGGAUGAAGGUCAUAUGGAUUAUAAACUUCUUUUAUAGAAGAAUAAAGUGAGCCACGUGUGGAUUUUUGUAUGUAUACUAUGAAUAAGGAUCGGCUAACUCCGUGCCAGCAGCCGCGGUAAGAC